GACGAACGCUGGCGGCGUGCUUAACACAUGCAAGUCGAACGGAAAGGCCCUGCUUUUGUGGGGUGCUCGAGUGGCGAACGGGUGAGUAACACGUGAGUAACCUGCACUUGACUUUGGGAUAACUUCAGGAAACUGGGGCUAAUACAGGAUAGGAGCUACUGCUGCAUGGGGGGGGUUGGAAAGUUUCGGCGGUUGUGGAUGGACUCGCGGCUUAUCAGCUUGUUGGUGGGGUAGUGGCUUACCAAGGCUUUGACGGGUAGCCGGCCUGGGAGGGUGACCGGCCACAUUGGGCCUGAGAUACGGCCCAGACUCCUACGGGAGGCAGCAGUCGAGAAUAUUGCACAAUGGGCGGAAGCCUGAUGCAGCAACGCCGCGUUCGUGAUGAAGGCCUUCGGGUUGUAAACCGCUUUCGCCUGUGACGAAGCGUUAGUGACGGUAAUGGGUAAAGAAGCACCGGCUAACUACGUG
rnacentral:rRNA from 1 species